rnacentral:rRNA from 1 species
AGAGCCUGAAUCAGUGUGUGUGUUAGUGGAAGCGUCUGGAAAGGCGCGCGAUACAGGGUGACAGCCCCGUACACAAAAAUGCACAUGCUGUGAGCUCGAUGAGUAGGGCGGGACACGUGGUAUCCUGUCUGAAUAUGGGGGGACCAUCCUCCAAGGCUAAAUACUCCUGACUGACCGAUAGUGAACCAGUACCGUGAGGGAAAGGCGAAAAGAACCCCGGCGAGGGGAGUGAAAAAGAACCUGAAACCGUGUACGUACAAGCAGUGGGAGCACAGAGCAAUCUGUGUGACUGCGUACCUUUUGUAUAAUGGGUCAGCGACUUAUAUUCUGUAGCAAGGUUAACCGAAUAGGGGAGCCGAAGGGAAACCGAGUCUUAACUGGGCGUUAAGUUGCAGGGUAUAGACCCGAAACCCGGUGAUCUAGCCAUGGGCAGGUUGAAGGUUGGGUAACACUAACUGGAGGACCGAACCGACUAAUGUUGAAAAAUUAGCGGAUGACUUGUGGCUGGGGGUGAAAGGCCAAUCAAACCGGGAGAUAGCUGGUUCUCCCCGAAAGCUAUUUAGGUAGCGCCUCGUGAAUUCAUCUCCGGGGGUAGAGCACUGUUUCGGCAAGGGGGUCAUCCCGACUUACCAACCCGAUGCAAACUGCGAAUACCGGAGAAUGUUAUCACGGGAGACACACGGCGGGUGCUAACGUCCGUCGUGAAGAGGGAAACAACCCAGACCGCCAGCUAAGGUCCCAAAGUCAUGGUUAAGUGGGAAACGAUGUGGGAAGGCCCAGACAGCCAGGAUGUUGGCUUAGAAGCAGCCAUCAUUUAAAGAAAGCGUAAUAGCUCACUGGUCGAGUCGGCCUGCGCGGAAGAUGUAACGGGGCUAAACCAUGCAC